rnacentral:rRNA from 1 species
GCAGGGAAUCUUGCGCAAUGGGCGAAAGCCUGACGCAGCAACACCGCGUGGGGGAUGAAGGCUCAUGGGUCGUAAACCCCUUUUCUCAGGGAAGAAAAAAAUGACGGUACUUGAGGAAUAAGCAUCGGCCAACUACGUGCCAGCAGCCGCGGUAAUACGUAGGAUGCAAGCGUUAUCCGGAUUCACUGGGCGUAAAGAGCGCGCAGGCGGUCCUUUAAGUUAGGUGUGAAAACUCUCAGCUCAACUGAGAGACGCCAUCUAAUACUGGGGGGCUUGAGGGCAGCAGAGGAAGAUGGAAUUCCCGGUGUAGUGGUGAAAUGCGUAGAUAUCGGGAGGAACACCAGUGGCGAAGGCGGUCUUCUGGGCUGUACCUGACGCUGAGGCGCGAAAGCGUGGGGAGCAAACAGGAUUAGAUACCCCUGUAGUCC